AUCCCUUUGGGGACAUUCGAUAAAAUUGAAAUGAUACAGAGAAAAUUAGCAUGACCCCUACACAAGAUUGACAAACACAAAUCAAGAAAUUAGCUAUUUUUUU
rfam:Capsicum annuum cultivar Zunla-1 chromosome 11, whole genome shotgun sequence